AGGCAAGAUGUCGGCAUAGCUGAUUAUACUUGAAAUUCAGCUGUGUCACAUCAAGCCAAC
rnacentral:pre_miRNA from 1 species